UCACGCGUCAACAGUGGAACAAAUCAAAAAUCCUUCAAAAGUUCAAAGAAAUAAAAACAAAUGUAAUGAAAUAGAUCAAUUCCAAGCCCCACAUAGUAAACCAAUGCUCUCAUUGUUUCAAAUCUAUCACGUGCCAUGAGUCUGCAGUAUGGACUCAUACUCUAGAUUGGAGGUAGAAGAUCUUCUCUAUGGAGAUAGGUACUCAAGAUCCACAACAAACAAACUUCAACCUACACAAAUUAAAAACAUCGCCCUGAGUAUAAAGUUUAGUGGUACUCAAUAAUGUAUAUGCAUUCACAUGGCAUACAAAUAUAGUCCAUUAAAACCAUACACAACAUCAAAAUAUCAUUUUCCACAACAAUUCACAUACUAUAUCUCUAUGCAAAUACUUAUAGUCAAGCCACAUUCAAGUUUUGCAUCCCAAGAAACCACUUCAAUCAAUAUAUAAAUAAUAACUUGUCUCGAAGCAAACUCAUAUAUAGGUCCAUCCACACAGCUUGCAAUUUAAGUAAUCACAUAACAGUGUUAAUUCACGCAUGUGAUAGCAUCAUUACUCAUACUAUCAUAUACACAAAGGUACCUUGCUACUCGAGUAAUCUCAUAAUAUCUUUAAUAUAAAGGUUUGCACAAUAGAAGAACACAUCUUAUUAUAUGAGAAUCUUAUCCACAUCAUAAGCAUACAUAUUAUAUGUAUAUUGCAAUACCUUGCAUUACAGUUAAUCAUAUAAAUAAUCUUGUAAGUAACUUGCAUAAUAAGUAAUUAUAUAUCAACAGGUUGUAGGUAAAUUGUAUUGCAAGUAAUCAUUCAUUACAGUUGUGCUAACAAUAUCAUAUUCAUUAGUCCAGAUAAUUGGUUCUUAAUAGUGACUCAGAAGAAACAGAAGCAGAACAGGUAAUAGAACGGUGUCUGAUAAUAGUCAGACUAAUACUGGCUAAUUAGCCUUUUAACAGUAGACUUAAAAAGUCUUUUAGAUACAGAGUCAAUAGAGUGCGUCCACUCAUCCUGAAGACACCUACGUGUCUGGCAUAUGAUCAUAGCAUAAUCCAAAUCAGAUCUCAUAGCAUGAUUUCCAGAAACAGAUAAUCAUAUUCUAGCAACUACUCAACUAAGACCAUAGUAAGAGCCCAUUAGUUCUUUACAGUUUGAUUCAUUUUAAUUCAAUUUCUAGGUAAUAACCACACAAUCCAAAUAUCAUGCAAUACACAUAAUUAACAAGCGUACUUGAUUGCAACCUGCUCAUUAUUCAUAGAAGCUAACAAGCUUCAUAUAAAUCUAAACAUUUCAUUCUCAUGCAUAUUAUAAGUAUUUAUCUCACAUGCAUAAGAUAAAUAACUCAAGCAAUUCAAUUGAGAUCGCAUCAAUCCAUAUAUAUCUUAGUCCAAUAUUACUCAAGAUGUUAAGUGAGUAAGCGUACCUAGUGCAUAGCAUUAAACAUUCCAAAGCAAUAAUACCAAAUUGGUAUUACCAAGUCAUAAGCACACACUUAAUUCAUAGUAGUUCAUAGGUCAAGCAAGUCAACGUCCCAAUAAUAAAGUCCUAGUAUGCCAUCUAACAACACAUUAUAUUAUGCAAGCAAGCAUAACAUCAUACAUCAAGUGCAACUCAUGCAAUCUAUAAAAUCAAGUCAAACAUGGACAGCGACAUGGUUCGACGAUCCUAAAGUACUAGGGUUCAUGCUCCCUUUUCUAGGUUUAAUCACACAAUUAUCUCAAACUAGCAUAUAAUCACACAUUGGUUCAUUCAAUUGCACAUUCAAACAUAAUUUAGGCAUAAAUCCCCAAUUAAGCUUCAUUACUCAAUUAUAAACCUUAAUCAUUCCAAUUCCAUUCAAUACAUGUAUAUUUAUCUAAUUAGUCAUAAUAUAAUAAAAUAUUUUAGCUCAUAACAUAUGAAAAACCAAACAAAUCUUACCUUAAGAUCAAACAAAUAUCUUAGCAUAAGCUUGGCCCAUCAUACAAAGUAGACUAGCUAAGUUCAUUUCAUCACAUAGUCAUGCAACGCAUAACAUUAGACUUCAAUAGGCAUUAGAACAAUCAACUUCAUCAAAUCCUAGCCAAUUAGCCAAAUUCCCCAAUUUGAUUUCAUAAUCCAAUACUAAACCCGGGUUAACUCAAUUGCCACAUUCAAACUUACAUUAAAACCUUUGAUCAUAUUAAUAAGUAUAAUUAAGUGAUAAUUCCCAAUUAACAUCAAGUAAUCAUGAUUCAUAUCUUAUUUAUUUUCCUUUGAUAUUCAUAUGAGAUUUUAGUCUCAUCUAAAGAAGAUUUUAAAGAAAACCACAUCAAAGAUACAUUAGGCAUGCAUUUAGAGUGCUUAGGCAUCAUUAGAAGGUCAAAAGUACAAAGUAGCAUAGUGAGAGUCAGGGGAGUCCACGGCUAGGCCGUGUUCUCUGACAAGGCCGUGUCAGCAGGCCACGUCUCACAAGUCAAGAGACUACACAGCCUGGGCGUGUCAGGCAACGCGGCGUGUAAUCUAGGUUUUUUCAGUUAUGAGAUUUCACUCUUUUUAAGCCUCUAAACAUGCCAAACCAAUUCUUCCUCUCAAGAACCAAAGAUUAACACAAAAAACUACAUUCAAGCAUGCCAAAUAAAGGUAAAAGCACUCAAAGAAACACCAAUAUGUUAUUCAUAACACCAACUUCAAUUAUUACAAUCAAAUUCAUAAAAUCUCCCAAAACAUACUCAUGAUCACAAAAACACAAACAUCACUCAAAGAAAUCAAAGUAAGCAUAUACUUGUAGAGCACUAACCUCAAAAUCACAUAAUAGCAAACCAAACUUCAGAAUUAUGCUUUCCCUUUGCCCUUCUCAACCUUAGAAGGUUCACCCUUCUCUAUGAGCGUAAAAACCAAAAAAACAAAACAUAACAAUUCAACCAUUAGAGAUUCGAAAUCUCUUAAGAAUACUGACUCCAAAAAUAUAAUCAAAUUAGAAAAACAACAUACAGAUUGCAAAAUGGAAACUUACCUUGAUUAGGAAUGCCUUCUGUGAUCACAGUCUAAUUGCACCUGAAUCUUCUAACUUCAAUCACUAUUCUAAUCUUAUUAACUCUCAAUUUGUCAUUUGAUUGCAGAUUUCAAUGGUGGAAAUCACAGGAAUGGAAGUUUUCUUUUUCUCUCUCUUGUGCGUGUGCGUGUAAAGAGGGCCGGCACUCUCUUUUCUAGAGGGUGUCGACCACUCUUUU
rnacentral:lncRNA from 1 species